rnacentral:tRNA from 1 species
UGGCUGAGCGGUAAAGCGCUUGGUUUCCGAACCUGGUGUCCCGGGUUCGAAUCCUGG